rnacentral:rRNA from 1 species
ACCAUGCAGUCGACGGAAGGCCCUGCUUUUGUGGGGUGCUCGAGUGGCGAACGGGUGAGUAACACGUGAGUAACCUGCCCUUGACUUUGGGAUAACUUCAGGAAACUGGGGCUAAUACCGGAUAGGAGCUCCUGCUGCAUGGUGGGGGUUGGAAAGUUUCGGCGGUUGGGGAUGGACUCGCGGCUUAUCAGCUUGUUGGUGGGGUAGUGGCUUACCAAGGCUUUGACGGGUAGCCGGCCUGAGAGGGUGACCGGCCACAUUGGGACUGAGAUACGGCCCAGACUCCUACGGGAGGCAGCAGUGGGGAAUAUUGCACAAUGGGCGGAAGCCUGAUGCAGCAACGCCGCGUGCGGGAUGACGGCCUUCGGGUUGUAAACCGCUUUCGCCUGUGACGAAGCGUGAGUGACGGUAAUGGGUAAAGAAGCACCGGCUAACUACGUGCCAGCAGCCGCGG